CCCCCUCCAGGUUUGGUGAAUGGACCAACCAGACCCUCAAGACUGCCAUGGGCAAGUCCCUUGGCGGGUACCAGGAACGGUGAAACUGAACAUUGACAAGGUACAGGAGAAACAGAAGGAGAGCUACCGGAGCAGAAUCAAGAAGGGGAACAAGUGCUUYGACAUCCGGGCGAAUUACUUGGUUUGGAAGAAGUAGGAAAGGAAGGCGAGACCUGGGAAACCUCACUGCACUUUUGCUSCUAGCUGGGGUCACCAUCUGUUAAGGGUUACCUUAGCGGAAGCCAACAUUCUUCUCCAGUUGGAGCAGUUGGACGGUCGACCACUGAAAGCACUGACACCCUACACUUCGGUUAAGCCCAAUAGACAAAGACCAUCGACUGUCCAAGACCCCCAGGAGGUAUCCCAUCUACCAGAACCAGUUCAGAUCAGUUUGAUUCUCUGUGCUCUGAGUGUGAGGGGGACCAGCUUGAGACGUGGAUCCACCUGAUUUCCUCCAUUACCAACCACCCUCCAACUUUUCAUUACAUCACCUACAGUUAAUGUCAUUAUCAUUAACUGCUAAGAAAGUUUUCUUGCUSUAUCAUACUGGGCACAGUACUGAGAUACACAGAUUAAUUAAACACUAGCAGUGGAAACGCUCAGAACAAAGAGAGCAGCAGUGUCUGGACUUUGCAGUCUCCCUCUUCAAGUCCCCCAUCURAGACUGGCUGUCUGUUGAGAACAAGUGACAGGCAGAACCUCAAACCCACACAGCAACCACCUUCUCUAUAUUCCACACAGCAGAAUUCAGACUUUUAGUCUAUGAUUGCCAUGUGAGUGUUCAAAAAAUCKGUGAAAAUA